rnacentral:rRNA from 1 species
UACGGAGGGUGCGAGCGUUAUUCGGAAUCAUUGGGCGUAAAGGGCGCGUAGGCGGCCGGGCAAGUCAGGGGUGAAAUCCCUCGGCUCAACCGCGGAACUGCCUCUGAAACUGCCCAGCUCGAGGCCGGGAGAGGGUAGUGGAAUUCCCAGUGUAGAGGUGAAAUGCGUAGAUAUUGGGAGGAACACCAGUGGCGAAGGCGGCUAACUGGACCGGUACUGACGCUGAGGCGCGAAAGCGUGGGGAGCAAACAGG